AAGCUGAAAAGAUGUUCCAACUGAUGAAAGGCGGCAAGACGAGGCUGCUCGGCUCUUAACUCCGUUGUACAGCAGGCAAUCAGCAGCUCCUUCCAUGGCAACCCACCAAAACCAAGGCCACGGAGCCGUGGUACCAUCAGCCACACACAAAUGGACAGGAAGACAGACCACGAAGGACAAGACACUGUCUAUCUUCAAGAGCCUGGAAAAAAACCAUACGUAUUCUUUUCCACUGGCUACAGCAAUCUAAUCUGUCCCGGUCCAUGAGAGAUGUGACAAGGUCUCUGCAUUCUUACCGAGAGGCCUUGGCAGUCUUGGUGUCUCCCAGGAAAAGACGAUUCGCAUUCAGCUGAGAACUACACAACGAGAACAAAUAGGAGCAAGACGUGUGUUUCAGGGCCUAAGAUAAUCACUGAAGGAGAUUAAGAGGCAACUUUCACUGCAGGUUUUAUAGCUGCCUUCUGGCACCAUCCUUUUAAGCCCACCCAGCCCUGGGCUCUGAACAAAACACAAGAAGCAAUAGGUGCCUCCCCAGGACUCCCUGUGACACGUCCUGCAUGCCCUGCUCCAGUCCUAGCAUGACCCACCAGCGACAUCCUUCCGUGAGCACAACUCUCCCACCAGUAAGGAAAAAAACAAGACUGACAAAGACACGCUCAGCAUUUAUUAUUGUUCUCACCACGGAAACCCUGUCUGGUCCAACCCAGGUGAAACAUUUUGGGCUACCAUGAAGGAAGAUAAAACAUGCUGGCAUCUGUGUGACAGACACGGCCACAAAUAAAUCAAGCAAUAAAUGACACAGCAU
rnacentral:lncRNA from 7 species